rnacentral:rRNA from 1 species
UACUAAGGUAGCAUAAUGAUUUGUCUUUUAAUUGGAGGCUUGUAUGAAGGGUUGAAUGAAAGGCGCCUGUUYUUGCAGAAAUGAAAAAUUAGUUUUAAGUUAAAAUUCUUAAAUAGGGCUCUGGGACGAUAAGMCCCUGUAAAAUUUGACUUUUUAGGAUUUUGAUGGCAAGGCGGGGGCAUUUAUUUACAGAGUUUGGCUGGGACGGCAGGUCUGUGUACACAGGA